UGGGGAAUUUUGGACAAUGGGGGCAACCCUGAUCCAGCGACGCCGCGUGAAGGAUGAAGGUCUUCGGAUUGUAAACUUCUUUUGGAGGGGAUGAAUGCCCUGGUGAAUAGCCAGGGGUGACAGUACUCUCUGAAUAAGCCACGGCUAACUACGUGCCAGCAGCCGCGGUAAUACGUAGGUGGCAAGCGUUACUCGGAAUCACUAGGCGUAAAGCGCAGGUAGGCGGUUCGGUAAGUCUUUUGUGAAAGCUCCCGGCUCAACUGGGAGAGGUCAAGGGAAACUACCGGGCUAGAGUGUGGUAGAGGAAGCUGGAAUUCCCGGUGUAGCGGUGAAAUGCGUAGAGAUCGGGAGGAAUACCUAAGGCGAAAGCAGGCUUCUGGGCCAUCACUGACACUGAUCUGCGAAAGCUAGGGGAGCAAACAGGAUUAGAUACCCUGGUAGUCCUAGCCCUAAACGAUGCUCAUUAGAUGUGGGAGGUAUCGACCCCUUCCGCGUCGAAGCUAACG
rnacentral:rRNA from 1 species